rnacentral:rRNA from 1 species
GACGAACGCUGGCGGCGUGCUUAACACAUGCAAGUCGAACGGAAAGGCUCCAGCUUGCUGGAGUGCUCGAGUGGCGAACGGGUGAGUAACACGUGGGCAAUCUGCCCUGCACUCUGGGAUAAGCCUGGGAAACUGGGUCUAAUACCGGAUAGGACCUUUCUCCUCAUGGGGUUUGGUGGAAAGUUUUUCGGUGCAGGAUGAGCCCGCGGCCUAUCAGCUUGUUGGUGGGGUAAUGGCCUACCAAGGCGACGACGGGUAGCCGGCCUGAGAGGGUGAUCGGCCACAUUGGGACUGAGAUACGGCCCAGACUCCUACGGGAGGCAGCAGUGGGGAAUAUUGCACAAUGGGCGAAAGCCUGAUGCAGCGACGCCGCGUGCGGGAUGACGGCCUUCGGGUUGUAAACCUCUUUCAGUAGGGACGAAGCGCAAGUGACGGUACCUGCAGAAGAAGCACCGGCUAACUACGUG